GCCUACGGGGGGCAGCAGUGGGGGAUAUUGCACAAUGGGGGGAACCCUGAUGCAGCGACGCCGCGUGGGUGAAGGAGCGUUUCGGCGCGUAAAGCCCUAUCGGCAGGGAAGAAGGAGGACGGUACCUGACUAAGAAGCCCCGGCUAACUACGUGCCAGCAGCCGCGGGAAUACGUAGGGGGCAAACGUUAUCCGGAUUUACUGGGUGUAAAGGGAGCGUAGACGGCUGUGCAAGUCUGAAGUGAAAUGCCGGGGCCCAACCCCGGAACUGCUUUGGAAACUGUACAGCUAGAGUGCAGGAGGGGG
rnacentral:rRNA from 1 species